GAUGAACGCUGGCGGCAUGCCUAAUACAUGCAAGUCGAACGGGAGGAAGGAAAGCUUGCUUUCCUGAAUCUAGUGGCGAACGGGUGAGUAACACGUAGGUAACCUGCCCAUGUGCCCGGGAUAACUUCUGGAAACGGAUGCUAAAACCGGAUAGGUAGCAGACAAGCAUUUGACUGCUAUUAAAGUGGCCUUGGCCAUGAACAUGGAUGGACCUGCGGUGCAUUAGCUGGUUGGUGAGGUAACGGCCCACCAAGCCGACGAUCGGUAGCCGGACUGAGAGGUUGAACGGGCCACAUUGGGACUGAGACACGGCCCAGACUCCUACGGGAGGCAGCAGUGGGGGAUAUUGCACAAUGGGCGAAAGCCUGAUGCAGCAACGCCGCGUGA
rnacentral:rRNA from 1 species